CCCAGCAGGGAGCAGCGCGUCAGUCUGUGCUCACGGGAUCCACUUCUUAGGCUAUCCAGCCCCCAUAGCUCUGGAUUCCUCUUUGGAACCCUUCCCGCUCCCCCCCCCUGCUGCCCCCCUCUUAAAAACCAGGCGAUUUCAGCACAUCAGCUCACGGGAGUCAGGGUACAAGUCCUUCCCCACUGCCCUCCCGGGGCGGGGGAGAGGAGGGGCUGAGAAUGGGAACUGGAGUGUCACUUCUGCUUGCCUCUAAACAGCCGCCAAAUGGGAGAAGAAAUGGCUGGUUCCCCAACACCCCUGCUCCCUGACUAAAUCCUUCUUCUGGCUUCAUUCAGCCGGCUGCUUCCCAUGCUGCAUUUCAGGACAAAGACACAUGGCGACUUCGGCAGGGUUUACCGAGAUGUGAGGGAAGAUCCAGUUGGGUUUGGUAACAGGCGGUGUGGGAAAAGGAGAGCAAGGUCAGCAAGGAACCAGGGCAGGGAAAAUACAUCUUCCUAAGCCACAUCUGAACUAAGCAUAUAUAUCUUUAGAUCGUUUAUUAUACGAUUAACUACAAGCAUCGUCUUUGGUGUGAGACCUAAAGUGCACUUGACCCAUGGGACUGAGAGUAACCUAAGUAUUGCUGUGAUCCUUGGUGUAAGGGACCAUCUUUCACAAAGCAAGAGUACAUUCUCCAGGCCUCACAGAGAGUGGACAUUCCCCUGACUAGUGAUACAACCACAUAG